AGUGAACGCUGGCGGUAGGCCUAACACAUGCAAGUCGAACGGCAGCACAGUAAGAGCUUGCUCUUACGGGUGGCGAGUGGCGGACGGGUGAGGAAUACAUCGGAAUCUACUUUUUCGUGGGGGAUAACGUAGGGAAACUUACGCUAAUACCGCAUACGACCUACGGGUGAAAGCAGGGGAUCGUCGGACCUUGCGCGAUUGAAUGAGCCGAUGUCGGAUUAGCUAGUUGGCGGGGUAAAGGCCCACCAAGGCGACGAUCCGUAGCUGGUCUGAGAGGAUGAUCAGCCACAUUGGAACUUAGACACGGUCCAGACUCCUACGGGAGGCAGCAGUGGGGAAUAUUGGACAAUGGGCGCAAGCCUGAUCCAGCCAUACCGCGUGGGUGAAGAAGGCCUUCGGGUUGUAAAGCCCUUUUGUUGGGAAAGAAAAGCAGCAGGUUAAUACCCCGCUGUUCUGACGGUACCCAAAGAAUAAGCACCGGCUAACUUCGUG
rnacentral:rRNA from 1 species